AGUGGCGGACGGGUGAGUAACACGUAAGAAUUUGCCUUUAGGAGGGGGACAACAACUGGAAACGGUUGCUAAUACCCCAUAUGCUUUCGAGUGAAACGGAUUUUUCCGCCUAAAGAGAAGCUUGCGGCUGAUUAGCUUGUUGGUGGGGUAAUGGCUCACCAAGGCGACGAUCAGUAUCUGGUUUGAGAGGACGAUCAGACACACUGGAACUGAGACACGGUCCAGACUCCUACGGGAGGCAGCAGUGGGGAAUUUUCCGCAAUGGGCGAAAGCCUGACGGAGCAAUACCGCGUGAGGGAUGACGGCCUAUGGGUUGUAAACCUCUUUUUUCAGGGAGGAAUCAAAUGACGUGUACCUGAAGAAUAAGCAUCGGCUAACUCCGUGCCAGCAGCCGCGGUAAGACGGGGGAUGCAAGUGUUAUCCGGAAUCACUGGGCGUAAAGCGUCUGUAGGUGGUCAAAUAAGUCAACUGUUAAAUCUUGAGGCUCAACCUCAAAAUCGCAGUCGAAACUAUUAGACUAGAGUAUAGUAGGGGUAAAGGGAAUUUCCAGUGGAGCGGUGAAAUGCGUAGAGAUUGGAAAGAACACCGAUGGCGAAGGCACUUUACUGGGCUAUUACUAACACUCAGAGACGAAAGCUAGGGUAGCAAAUGGGAUUAGAUACCCCAGUAGUCCUAGCCGUAAACAAUGGAUGCUAGAUGU
rnacentral:rRNA from 1 species